CAUCCCCCUUAGUACGAAUAGGUUGGAGCACUGAGACUUCCGGUUCCGCAAGGCUCACCUUUCAGGUGAGGUUUAUCUCGGCUCAAGAUCACUGAGAGGGAGACCGUCUCAAAGAGUAAUUGUAUCCUGCGUAGCACAAAAGUCACCGUGUUCUGGGAGGAGGGAGGCGCCGCUCCUUCCUCCAGGUCCCCAGCUCUUGCAGAUCUGUUUUCUAAAAAUACUUAGUUAAAAAGAAGUAGACGUCAGUUGUGCAAUAAUGAGUAUAUAACCACCUUAAGAGGACCAGUCUUGUUUUGCAAAUCGCACCCAUUACUCCCCUUCACUAAAAUGUAACCUGAAAGCCUAAGUACGUACAUAUAUUGCUAAUGCAGCUUUGAUGUUUUUGUGGUCUGGCUUUUUGUUUGUCUUUUUAAUGAAAUCUCUAUGUUUUCAAGGUGCUGGGAGAAUUCUUGUGUUUAGAAGGAAAAUUGUAGCAAAUAUUAAACACCACAAAAUUUUCUUAAUAUCUCUAAAAUAUUUGAGGCUUUUGAGAAAUACAAGUAAAUAAUUAAAGGACAGAACAAAGAAACAGACUGGAAUAUGUAGACCUUUUUUUUCUCACAUCAUAACCCAACAAGAGACAAAACCCAGAGAAUUAACAGUUUUCUCUGGAUUCAUCAUUUGAGGAUGUAUGUUAUUUAUGGUAAGUAAUUGACACUGCAUUUCCUUAUCAGAUGUUUCCUUGAUAUUGCUUUAUACCUAUUUUAUUUUAUUUUGGGGGGCAAUCUCCUCUGUUUUUCUGUUUUUCUGCAUGCAUAGGUCAAAUAAAACCUGUGGGCUACAAAUGUACAACUUCUCUGUUAAAACAUGGAAAUAAAUAGAUAAUGGCAAAUGGCGAGACAGAGAAAAGGCAAAACAAAAGCCCUUAAACGUGGUCUCCUAUGAAAGAUUGAGAGGGAAAAGAAGGCAGGAGGGGCUAAGUUUUUCCAUGGGACUUUAAUUAGAUCUCGUUUGCAUUUGAUGUUCUUUGAGAGAUUUGAAGUAGUUUAAGUCUUUUCAAUUAUUCUUGGUUCUGAACAGGUAUUUUUUGUUUUUAAUAAGCCUUUGUGCUAAUGUUGGACCUUAGAGGAACACAUUUCAAAUGAGGUUUGCACUUUAGCAUAUAAUUGUAUUCCCAGCAUGGUAGAUAAAAUAAAGUCAUUUGAAGAUUUGAAGGCUUCUUUUUUGGUUUAAUUUCACUAGCUAGAGAACACUCUUUACAGUGUUUCUAUACUACAUGAUUUAAACACAUCAGCAAAAUAUAAAAUAAAAUGCUUUGGCAAAAUAACAAUAUAGCUUCAUGUCAAGGCCUUAUAGAUUAUCUUUAGCACUCAGUGAAUCUGCAAAUGCAAUAGUUAGCUAAUAGUAAUUACAUUCAUUGUACUUUACUCACUGUUAAAACAGGAAAAAUAGAAUUGAACAGACAGUCCAAGUUUUAAAUAGGCAAAGAAUCUGAAUAGACACAGAAGAUAUACAGUUGGACAAUAAGCCCAUGAGAAGUUGCUUAACAUCAUUAGCCAUUAGGGAAAUGCGAAUCAAAACCACAAAUACCACUUCAUAUCCACUAGGAUGGCUAUAGUAAAAAAAAUAAAUUAAAGUUAAUAACAAUUGUCGAGAGUAAGGUGGAGAAAUUGGAGCCCUAGCAACUUGCUGGUAGGGAAUAACUGUUUUAGAGAACAGUUGGAUAAUUUUUAAAAACAAAAUUAAACACAGAUUUACCAUAUAACAGUAAUUUCACUCCUAGGUGUAUGUUUAAGAGAAAUGAAAACAUCCAUACAGCAACUGUUCACAAAUGUUCAUAGGAAUAUUAUUUGUGUUAUCCCAAAAAUGGAAACAAACCAUUAACUGAUGAAUGGAUAAGUAAAAUAUGUUAUAAUCAUACAAUAUAAAACAGGACCCUUGGACUGACGAACUCAGUUAAUUCUCAGAGUCUGGUUGUAACUCAAGUUGGUUGUAAGUCAAGAAUAUUUUUCCCAUAAGAAAUAAUAGAAAAGGGCUGGGGAUUUAGCUCAGUGGUUCCAGCGCCUGCCUCUCAAGCGCAAGGUUCUGAGUUCAAUCCCCAGUACCAAAAAAAAAAAGAAAUAAUAGAAAUACCCAUAUUGCAUUCCGAACCUCCCAAAGCAUCCCUUAACUAAUCUUUUCAUAAUAAAAAAGGGUUGUAUAAUAUGUUUAAUUUACCAGAAAUGUCAAUAAUUUUCCUAAUGUAUUCACCAAAAAGUUAUAAAAUGUACCUAGUUGCCAGAAAUAACAAUUUCAUACUGUACUCACCAUGCAAGUUGACAUCUUUGGCCUGCAGGAAGGAAGCAUGAAAUGAAAGGUAGUUAUUGUUUGGAAGGAGAGUCUUCUAUAAGAACAUCAGGAAUCUAGGUCUCUGGUGUCCUUUCUGUCCUUGGGAGAGUCUGUAGCCCACUAGGAUCUGCUUCUGGCUCAUUAGGUCUCAACUUUUUCAGAACUAAAAACUGGUCUAAGGUUGUCUUUUUUUGGUGUUUAAUAUAACAAUUGGCUUUUUCUAAGUCUGGGUAGGUCUUCUACAAAUGUUUGUAGCUCUGUUCAUUUUUUCCGGAUUUCCUUUAUUUCAGAAAAAAACUGCUGCAUUGAUUGUUGAUACUCGCUCCUCCUCUUUAGAAAGCUCCUCAGCUGGCAUUCCCUAUUGCUCAGCCAGAAAUUGCUGAAGUUCUGUAGACAGUUCUUCUGAUUGUCCCUCCACUAUUUUUUCAAAAUCACCACUGUCUUACCUGUAAGCCUAUGGACUCUGCAAUAUGACAGUGUCAUCAACCACAGGGUCAGUUGAAGGCUCAGGCUCCUCUACACGGUCUUCAAAGUCUCUUCUGUAUAAUUUUAGGCCACACUUUUUUCUAGCACAUGUCAGUGUCCUUAGACAUUGGCCCAGGUUUUCUCAGUUAACCCCACAUGGGAGAGGAUAUUGUGAUGUUCUUUUCAGAACUCUCUUAAGGGUUAAAUCUGUACCUGAGACCAUCUGGAAGCACUUUAGGCACAGUUCCUUGGUAUAUAGCUUCUUAAAAUUAGUUAUAAUCUGCUGGCCCAUAAGCUACUAUAGAGAAGUUGUAUUAGGUGGGAGGAACUCUACUGAGCCAUGGGAAUUCUUCAUCCAACUUUUCCAAAUCUCAUGGGUGAGCAAGAGCAUUGUCCAUGAUGAGGAGAGCCUUGAGUGGUAAUCCUUUGUUUUCUAAGUAUUUCUCUUUGUUUUCUAAGUCUUUCUUAAUAGUAGGACAGAAAACCUCCCUGAUCCACUCAAGAAUGAGUACUCUUGUUACCCAGUUUUUGUGUUAGAUCUUCAAAAGACCCCCUACUCUAUUGUUCAUGACUUUGUUUUCUGAACACUCUAGGAGUCUCAGUGUGAUAAACCAAGAGAGGCUUUAUCUUGAGUUCAAAACUUGCAUUGGCACAUAGCAAUAAGGUUAGCCUAUCCUUCACAGGCUUGUGGCUUGACAUUUUCUUCUCUUCCUGGGUAAUGUAUGUUCUCCUGGGCAUUUUCUUCCAAAAAGGGCCAGUUUCAACACAGUUGAAAACUUGAUGAGAGCAAAAGCCAUUUCUCUGUCGUCAUUUCAAAGUGGUAUAUAUAAUUUUCAGCAGCCCUUUUGUCACCACUGGCUGCUUCACCAUGCCUAGUUACUCUAUGAACCCCAGUUCUUUAAAGUUGUGAAACAACCCCUUACUAGCAUGAAAUGUUUUACCAUUAUCAUUUGUUGAUGGAUUAUCCUUUAGGAGAUCUGCAUUUAUACCCCUAGCUUUUCACAAAUUAUAGACUCAGGCUGUAAUCUGCCAUGUGUCUUUCAGUUAUCCACACUAAUAAUAGCCUUUUUACCCUGGCUGACACUGUUGAUCGUGACUUACUAAUUUGAGUAGCACCUUUAGCAACACUAGCUUCCUCAUACAAAUCUUUUUUCUUUAAGAUUGUUGAGAUGGUGGUUUUUGACAUGCUUUACAUAUUAGUGAGAUUGGUCACACAAAUGCCACUCAUUUCUGCAGUUUCCUUUUCGAUUGUGAUUGCUUUCUUUACCUUCCCUUCCUUCCUUAGCUUUUCCAGCUUUAUUGGGGCCAUUUUGAAAGCAGUAAUCAUAGCUGUUAUAUAAAGCACUAACCAAAAUUACAUCUACAAACACACGCAUCAGGACUCACACUGACAGUUACAUACACUUACAUACACUUUUCUGGCAUUAUGAGUCUUUGUUUACAACCACACAAGCAGCUGGGUUGUAACUCAAGACUUAAGUCAUAAAUUGAAAUUCCAUUCAUAACCCAAGUUGUUUGUAUGUGAGGCCAGUCCUGACUCAAGGGUCCACUGUAUUUGGUACUAAAAAGGAAUGAAGAACUGAUGCGAUAGCCUGGAUGAACUUUGAAAAGAUUAUGCUAAAUGGAGGCAAGUCACAAAAGACCACAUACUGGUAGUAUCCAUUUAUAUGAGAGGUUCAGAAACAGCACAUAGAAACAAGGUAGAUUGAUGGUUGGGUAGGGUUGAAAAGGAGGGGAACCAAUUAAAAACUCACCAAGUCUACAUUCAGGUGGGAAAGAAUUAGGCACUACUUCUUAAAAAGGAAGACUACUGAAAUUUAUAGACCUAUUUCAAACAACCACAUCUGGAAUUCCAGGAAGAUGGCAGCUAAACAGCAGCAAAUCAACCUCUCUAAGAUUCAGAAUCCAGAGACUGCAAUAUAACAUUUUGGGAAAGAAAAGGAGAGAGGUGAAUCCGAAGGAUCUGUAGGGAGAAUUGGAGCCCUCAGGGAGAGUAAAGAACCAGACCUUAACACAAAAAAAGGAGGUGGCAAAGUGCACUUUCUCCUUUACUCCCAGCUUGCAGCAUGAAAGAAGAGUGAAUCUAUAGAGUCAUAGUGAGGAAGGGUAAAUCCACAUGCCUCCACAGAGAAACACACCAGUGGAACAGAACAGUGGAUGCUGUGAACUGUAAAGGCUGGUGAAUGACUCCAGUCCAAGGAGCCAUUGGGGAGAAUACUUGGCUGAAUGCCAUUUUAGGGAGGGGCCAGUUGAACCUGGGACUUGAGCAGCCUUGGGGCUUCCAGGGACUAGGUGAGGCACAACUGCAGAAGAUAUUCAGGGUCAGGAAGCCAAGGCCAGGCCGGCAAGAGAUGUCCAGAGUGUUGAACACUGAACAACUCAUGCCCCAACCUGACAACCAGCGACAAGGAUCAGCCUGGACUUCUGUGGAUUUGAAAACACCAGGAUCUGUACCCCACCCUCUUCCUGUUGCAGGCCUGCUGGGAUCUAGCAUAGGUAGGCUCUGUCUGCCUCCUUUGUCUACCAGUGACAGUGAAGACACACCCUAAAUUGGUCACUAUCAAAACUUUAGACCCCAGAAGAUAACCACAGGCUUGAAAUCACAGAAGUCUUUUAAUCGUUUUCUUUUUUCUUGUUUUCUUUUUUUCAUGAAUGUGAUCAUUGUUUUUAGAUUUUUCUUCAGUUCUUGUUUUUUUCCUUUUUUCCCUCCUUUUAUUCACCAGUUUCCCAAAGCUUGGGUAAUCUUCCUUUGUCCUCCAGUCUUGCUUCUAAUGUUUCUCUCUUCCUUUAUUUCUCAAUUUUUUUCCUUUUGACCCUUUUAAAUCUAACCCCCUGAAGGUAAAAUUGCUCUAUUGAGGGAAUAUUUACUAUAUAUAAUUUUCUGAUGAUUUUGUUACAUAUCUGUAAAUCUUUUACCUAUGGUUAAAGGUAUUAACAACCACAACUUGUCAUUUUUCUUCACUGUGCUUGAUGCUAUUGUUAUUACUGAUUGUACUAAAGUGACAUAAUUGUGAUCAGUUGUUCUUCCUUGUAUGCCAACAUUGAGACUGUCAGAGUGUCAUAAAAAAUACCAUAGUCUGGUAUGAAAGAACUGGGUGCUAGGCCAAAGAGGCAAUGUCUUAGUUACUUUGCUCAUUACAGAGAGAAAAUACCCAACACCCAAAGUUAAAGGAGAAAAGGUUUAUUUAGCUCACAGUUUGUACAGGUUUCAGUCCACAAUUGGCUGGCUCCAAGGAAGAGGAGAAACAGUUCAUGGCAUCCACAAGGUAGCAAGGGGGCUUAACAGUGUCUUUCUAUGCAUUUUAUCUUUUCCAUUCUACUUAAGGCAGGUACCACUCACACCCUUAAUCCUAGUGCCCUUUAAUCUAGCAUUGCACUAUGAAUCAAUCCCAGUGUUACUCUAGAUCCAGCCACCUCUGAAAAAGUCCUAUCUAUUACCACAUGAGGUAUGGGGGGGGGGGACAUCUGAACACAAGCCAUAAUAAGCAGCAACUUCUCUUCCCUAAUAAACUGAAGAGGCAGAAUCUUGGAAGACUCAGAAGCCAGCUACAUCUAGAAGACAUCUCUGAAAAGUCAUUUUCUAAAGAGAUCUCAAUACUAGAAAUAAAAAUACUUAGCAUAAGCAGUUUAUAAGUAUCAAAGCAGAAAACAUUUUAAGAAUAGAAAACAAGACAGAAGCAAUAUGUAACCCCAGUCCUCAAGCCUACCAAAGGCAAAUCCAGGGGGCACUGAGGUGGAAGAAAUGAAAAGUCAUCCAGUGGAACUUUCUAAAAUUAUAACAGCAGAAGUAACAAAGCGAUGAAUGAGGCUCUAGAAAAAAAAUCAAAUAAUUUCACAGGUAACGAAAGAUGAUAACUAUAAUGAAUAUCAUUAGUGAAUCUAGAGUACAUAGAGAUAAAAGAAAUAGAGAAUCUUAGGAAAAUGAUGGAAACAAGGAAUGCCCAACAUAGGAAAGAACUGGAUUUUGUGAAACAGAUUCAAACAGAUACCCAGGAGAUUAAAAAUUCUAUUGAAAUAUAUGCAGGAAAAUCAAUGAAGAACAGAAUGUCAGUUCUAGAAUACAGGUUUGCAGUUAGCAUUCAUCAAAUGAAAGUCUUCUUAAAAAUAGCAAGGGACCAUGAAGAAUCAAUACAAAAUCUGCUAGAUAAUGCAAAGAAGAAUAACAUAAGAUUUAUCAGAAUCAAUUAAAAUAUCAGGAGAUAGCACAAAGGACAUUUUUUUAAAAACCUAUUCACAGAAGUAAUGGCAGAAAACUUCCCAAGCAUGGAAAAAGAUCAUGACAUACAGAUAAAUGAGGCAUAUAGAACUCCAGUUAGCCAUGAUCAGAUAAAAAAAAACACCAAAGGAUAUAAUAGUCAAGAUUCCAGAAAUUCAGCACAAGAACAGAAUAGUGAAACCUGUUAGAGAAAAGAAACAAAUCAACUAUAAAGAAAAGCCUGUCAGAAUCACAGCAGAGUACUCAACACAAACCCUUAAGGAAAGCUUGGAGUGAAAUGUUUCAAGCCCUAAGAUUAAACAACUUCCAAUUCAGAUUGAUUACCCUGUAAAAUUGUCUUUCAAAAUUGAUGGAGAAAUAGAUACUUCCAUGAUAACACUUGAAACUCAUGACUACCAAACUAGGACUCCAAAAAGUUCUGAAGGAUAUUCUAGAAAAAGACAACAAAUACAAAAAUUCUGUGAAUUCUAAUAGGGUGAAUUCCCCAGGCAAGGCAAAGAAUUAAAGGGGAAAGGGAACCAACAACUGGAAAAUAAUAAUGACAAGGACAAGUCAAUAUAUAUCAGUUAUAGCCAUCAGUGUAAAUGGUCUCAGUUCACUAAACAAAAGAAACAGAUUGGCUGAAUGGAUCAAGAAACAAGAUCCAAAAAAUACGGUGCAUAGAAGAAACACAUUUAACUCACAAAAAAUUCCAUAGACCAAAAGUCAAAGGAUGGAAAACAGUACUCCAUGCAACUGGGACCCAGUAAAAAGCAGAGGUGGCCAUUCUAUUUGCAGACAAAGUGGAUUUCAAGCCAAGAGUGAUCAGAAGAGACAAAGGUCACUACAUACUUUCUGAGGGAAGAAUCUUAAGGGGAACAGAUAAGAAUCAUAAAUAUAUAUGCACCAAAUGGCAUACCCAACCAUAUAAAAGAAAUAUUAAUGGACAUAAAAAAAAUCAAACACAAAUGCAGUUUUAAUGGGGAAUCUCAGUACCCCACUGUCACAGAUCAACUAGAUGAAAAAAUCAAAUAUCAGAGCUGAGCCAAACCUUUGAACAAAUACUUUGUAGAUACCUACUGAGUGUUCCAUCCCACAGCAGAAUACACAUUCUUCUCAACUGCACAUGGGAGUUUCUCAGAAAUAGACCACAUACUAGUUCAUAGGACAUACUUAGGUAAAUGCAAAGGAAUUGAAAUUAUUCCAUACAUAUUAUGACUAGUGUAAUGAAAUUGUAAAUCAGUGGCAAAAGAAACCACAAAAACUGCAUAAACACAUGGAAAUUAUAAAUAACACCCUCCUGAACAACCAGUGAAUCACAGGUGAAAUUAAAGAAGGAAUUAGUUUGUACAAUUAAACAAUAAUGCCAGUAUGACAUACUGCAACUUACAGGAUGCAAUGAAAGCAAUCCUAUAAGGAAAAUUUAUAGCAAUGGAUUCUCACAUCAGAAAAAGCAAGCUCUAACCUAAUGUUGAACCUCAAAAGAUGAAGUUAAACCCAAAGCUUGUAUGAGGGAGGAAAUUAUAAAGAUCAGAGCAGAAAUUAAUGGAAUUGAAACUAAGAAAACAAUACAAAGAAUCAAUGAAUUGAAGAGUUCUUUGAAAGAGCCUUAUCAACCUUAUCAAAAAGGAAAGAAAUCAAAUCCAUACAAUUAGAAAUUAAAUUGGUGAAAUCACAAGGGAUCCUGCAAAAACCCAGGAGAUCAUCAAUACCUACUUAGAAAACCUGUACGCUAAUAAAAUGGGAAAUGCAGAAGAAAUGGACAGAUCCCUUGAUACAUAUACAUUACCAAAGCUGAGUAGAAAAGAUAUAAAAAUUCUAAACCCCAAAUCAAUGAAAUUGAAGUAAUUAAAAAACUACUAGGGCCAGGGAUUUAGUUUGUGCUGCCACCUGCCUCGCAAGUGCAAGGUCCCAAGUUCGAUCCCUGGUACCACAAAAAACAACAACAAAAAACUACCAACAAAAAAGCCCAGUUCCUAAUGGAUUCAUAGCUGAAUUUUAUGUGAAGUUAGAGAUCUAAUGCCACUCCUCAAAUUCGUUAAUUAAAUUGAAAGGGAAGCAGUAAUUCUAAACUUAUUCCUGGAAGAAAGGAUUUCCCUGCUACCAAAACCAGAGAAGGAUCCAACCAAAAAAGAGGACUACAGCCCAAUCUCCUUAACAAACAUAGAUGUAAAAGUCCUCAAUAAUAUACUGACCUAAAGAAUGCAGUAAAUCAUCAAAGAGAUUACACACCAUGACCAAGUAGGAUUCAUUCCAGAAAUGCAGUUAUAGUUAAGUGUGCAUAAAUCAAUAAAUGUAAUACACCAUAUUAACAAAACCAGUGGCAAAAACCACAUGAUCAUCUCAAAUGCAGAAAACGCAUUUAACAAAGUCCAAUGCCCAUUCAUGAUAAAAACCCUACAGAAAAUUGGAAUAAGUCUUUAUCUCAAUCAGAUAAAAACCACAUAGGACAAACAGCCAACAUCAUACUAAAUAGUCAAAAACAAGGCAAGGAUGCCCAAUAUCACCACUCCUAUUCGGUAUAGUUCUGGAAGCAUUAGGCAGAGCAAUUGGACAAGAGAAAUAAAAGGAAUAAAGACAGGAAAAGAAGUUAAAUUAUCAUUGUGGAUGACAUGGUACUCUACAUAGAAGACCCCAGAACUCCACCAAAAGUCCUCUAGAUUUAAUAAAUUCAAGAGCACAGCAGGAUACAAAGUCAACACUCAAAAAUCAAUAGCAUCCUUUUACAUAAACUCACUGAACCACACCUUUUACAAUAGCAUCAAGAAAAAUGAAGUAAUCAGGAAUUAAUCUAACAAGUAAAAAACCUUUAUAUUGAAAACUGCAACUGAAAAAGGAGAUUGAAGAGGAUAUCAGAAAAUGGAAAGAUAUUCCUUGUUCUUGGAUGGGCAGAAUGAAUAUAGUGAAAAAGGCCAAACUGUAAAAACUUGCACAGAUUUAAUGCAAUCUCAAUCAAAAUAUUAAUAACAUACCUCAUGGAACUAUAGAAAACAAAAAUCCUAAAGUUCAUUUGGAACCAGAAGAGACCUAGAAUAGCAAAAGCAAUUCUGAGCAACAUAGGUAAGGCAGGGGGCAUCACAAUCCUGACUUGAAAUUAUACUACAAAGCUACUGUGAUUAAAAACAGCAUGGUACUGGAACAAAAAUGGGCCCAAGGAUCAAUGGAAUAGAAUAGAAGGUGCAGAAACAACUCCAAACACACAGAGCCACCUCAUCUUUGACAGAGGGGCCAAACACCUUUACUGGAAGAAAGAUAGCCUUUUUUUUUUUUUUUUUUUAAUGUACCAGGGAUCGAACUUGAGUCCUUGCUUUUGUGCAGCAGGUGACGAAACCACUGAGCUAAAUCCCUGGCCCAAGACAGCCUUUUUAAUAAAUGGUACUGUGAAAACUGGCUAUCCACAUGUGAAAGCUGAAAACUAGACCCAUAGCUCUCACUAUGCACUAAGUUAAAUUUGAAAUUGGACAAAUAUCUAAAUGUUAAUCUACUGGAAGAAAAAAAAUAGGUAAAUCUCUUGAAGACAUAGAUGUAUACAAAGACUGAACAAAACCUGAUCAAAUAGAAAAUACUACAAAGAAUCAACAACUAUGAUCACAUAUUAAAAAGCUUUUGCAACCUCAAGCUCCUAGAAAAAGAAGAGCAUAACAAACUCAAAGCUCUUAUAAGAGAGGAAAUUAUAAAGAUCAGACCAGAAAUCAAUGCAGUGGUGACUAAGAGAAUGAUACAAAAAAUUGAUGAAUCAUAGAGUUAGUUUUUCAAAAGAAUAAAUAAAAUCAAUAAACCUUUAGCCAACCUUAUCAAAAAAAAG
rnacentral:lncRNA from 1 species